rnacentral:rRNA from 1 species
AAACGGCCGCGGUACCCUAACCGUGCAAAGGUAGCAUAAUCAUUUGUCUACUAAUUAUAGACCUGUAUGAAAGGCAAAAUGAGGGUCUAACUGUCUCUUAUGGUCAAUCAAUUAAACUGAUCUCCCAGUAAAAAAGCUGGAAUAUCCCCAUAAGACCAGAAGACCCUGUGAAGCUUAAACUAAACUAUUAAACCAAAUAAUAGAUAAUUUCGGUUGGGGCGACCUUGGAAAAAAAAAGAACUUCCAAAUAAAUACCUGCUCUCUAGGUACCCUUAGGCCAACAAGCCGACCAAUGACCCAGCAUGGCUGAUAAUUGAACCAAGUUACUCCAGGGAUAACAGCGCAAUCUUCUUCAAGAGCCCAUAUCAAAAAGAAGGUUUACGACCUCGAUGUUGGAUCAGGACAUCCUAAUGGUGCAGCCGCUAUUAAGGGUUCGUUUGUUCAACGAUUAAUAGUCCUACGUGAUCUGAUUCCAAACCGGA